rnacentral:rRNA from 1 species
AGAACGAACGCUGGCGGCAUGCCUAACACAUGCAAGUCGAACGAGACCUUCGGGUCUAGUGGCGCACGGGUGCGUAACGCGUGGGAAUCUGCCCUUGGGUUCGGAAUAACAGUUGGAAACGACUGCUAAUACCGGAUGAUGACGUAAGUCCAAAGAUUUAUCGCCCAGGGAUGAGCCCGCGUAGGAUUAGCUAGUUGGUGAGGUAAAGGCUCACCAAGGCGACGAUCCUUAGCUGGUCUGAGAGGAUGAUCAGCCACACUGGGACUGAGACACGGCCCAGACUCCUACGGGAGCAGCAGUAGGGAAUAGUGGACAAGUGGGGCAACCUGAUCAGCAAUGCGCGUGAGUGAUGAGGCUUAGGU